rnacentral:lncRNA from 1 species
UCCCUUACCCAACCCCUUCCCCCCAAGCCCCCCUCCUUCCGCGGCCCUUGAAUUGAAGCCCUUCCUUCGGCCCUUCUUUUCUUCGCUUCCGUUCAGUCUUUCUUCCCCUCUCUCCCCAUUCAUGAUUCACGAACGGUGAAGUAGCAAAACCUCCAUUGACUAUUCACUCUCUCUUCUUUCCCGACGACCGUCUUUUUCUGAUCUACUGAGAGUGUGGCCGCCGUUCAGCAAGUUGCGGGUGUGUGGCUGCCGAAAGAACCGUUCCCUAUCGAUCUCUUUCCCCCCUCCCUGUCAAUCUGUUUUGCCUGUGUUGAGUGUGGCUGCCAAACCGCCGUUCAUCUUCUGUCCGAAUGACGAACGCCAAGCGGUGAGUUUCUGUUUCUUUUAAUAAUACCUUUUAUUAGUAGAUUGCCUUUUCCAAUCCACUAAGAUUUAGAAAGCCUAACAACACACACAUCUCUGUUCACUGAAUUUAGAAAUAAUCGGCAUUUGGGUUCAGGUUAACGAUGUUGCUGCCAUUUGGGUUCUAUGAAGGAAAGGAUGCUUAAGCUAAAAUUCAAUUAUGGAGAAAGUUGGUUAAAGAAUCAGCUGGUGCAAAUUAUGUCAAGAAAUUUGCAAAUUCUUCACUUUGAUGAUUUGUGAAGGAAAGGAUGCUUAAGCUGAAUGAAUUUGACUGUUGUUAGAAACUGCUAGUCUUUUAACCAUAAUAAAAUUAUGGCAUGAAUUUUAGAAACUCCUAGUCUUCUAACUAUAAAGGAUGCUAGUCUUCUUACCAUAAUAAAAUUAUGCAAAUUAUGUCAAUAAUAAAAUAUUUAAGCACAUCAGCUAUACAUUAAUAAAAUUAAAAAAAUUGCAAAUUUGGAUUUGGAGUAACUGAAUUGAAUCAAAUUUUAUCUAUUAGUUUCAGUUUGGUUAUAUCUUAAUAAUCGGUUUGAUCGGUUUUUAAUAUUUAUACAAUUUGAUUGUUCGGUUUGAUUUGAAAUCGAAUCGAUCGAUUGCACGGCCCUACACUAGAUUAUUAGAGAUAGUAUAUUUUUGUCUCUAUGGUCCUAAGAUCCUUCUACUAUUUGUAUUCUAUAAGAGAUAAAAGAUAAAUAUAGUAUCUUUCUAAUAAUCCAACUGUGAUGUAGUUGUCUGCUUGAUGUGCAGCAUCGCCAACCAUUAGGUGGAAAUCCCGCAAUCAUAGGUAUAAUGGAGGCAUGCUAGGCUGUGCUAAAUAACGGUAAUUUAGGUGGAAAUCCCGCAAUCAUAGGUAUAAUGGAGGCAUGCUAGGCUGUGCUAAAUAACGGUAAUUUCAUAUGAAAGCUCACUUCGUCAAGAGAAGGAUGAGUCUUUUAGCAGUAACUCGAGUGCAGAAGUGUCCGAUCUUCUCUUUUUCAUGCUAAACUGCAGUUCCCAAGUAUCUGAUCCUCGCCGUGUGUACUUACUUAAAAAUGGCAGCUUCCGCC